rnacentral:sRNA from 1 species
GCUGGGUGCAGUGGCUUACGCCUGUAAUCCCAGUGGCUCGGAGGCUGAGGCAGGACAAUUGAGAGUUCAAAGCCAGGCUCAU